AUCCAGGCAGGAAGUGACAUAACAAGGAGACUCAUAUUUAAGCAAAGGAAACAGAAAGUGUCCCCUUUUCCCCUUUGCAUCCUCCAGUGGCAGUAUGUGAGCCACUGGCAAGAGAGGGCACCAGCGAAAGGCAUCCUCUAUAAGGUAUACAUUCUCCAGUUUGUGUAUGUGCACACCACAUGAAAGCAACCAUACAUGGGUCUAACUUCAAAAGAAAAUGUACUUAGAAUCCAGUCAG
rnacentral:lncRNA from 1 species